AGCAGAAAGGCUUCAAAUCCUUCUACUGCAACAAAGAUAAGGACUAAUAAGAGCUGCUAAUUGGUCAUGUGAAAACAGCCCCAGUCUUCACAUCUUGCUGGGAAGAAAGAAAUUAAAAAGGAAAGCCUAGACGCCUUAGGUGAUAAAUCACAUACAGGAAUCUCCUGGCAGCAGACUAUGUGAGGAAGCCAAGGAAUUAGGUAGUCCAGUCAUUUUCAAUUUCUUUCUUCACAACAGAAUCGUUAUUCCAAAUGGAAUCUUCCACCACUCACCACAAGAGAAAAGUGGAGUUGCUCCCCUAUGAGGCAGGAAGGGAAGACCAGAGCUCCCUGGAAUCAACCCCUUCAGCUCUCCUCCAGCCGCACUGCAUCUCCUUCCUGGCGGAGGCCCCCCAUUCCAGGAGGGACCAGUGGCCACAGCCCCACCCUGCACACCCAGGAGACAGGGGGUCCGCUCUGCACUCCCAGGAGAGAGGGGUGUUGGGAACACGGAGCCCUGCUUCCAGAUGGACAAGGCCCCACCCUGCUCCCAGCCCCAGGCUCUGCGAACCCCACCCCUGCAUCCAGCAAGAUUUCUUUCUUUGUUGCACAAGCCAGUUUGAGGAAGGCCUCAGAUGUUCUCAUGUCCUGUUCUGGAGCACAUGCAGGAUCAUGCUCUUAGCAUUUCCCUGGGCUUUCCUGCCAGCAAUGAGGAUCCCUCAUCCUUCAGAAGCUGUCUGGGUGGCUGUCCAGGUCUUGCCUUCCUCACUCUCCAACAAGCGCUCACAUGUUACAUUAUUCUGCCCCCAGAAGGGCCAGUUUCUGAAGAAGACAGAGAAGGGAGUUUGCAACACUGCAAACAGAAAAAGCCCAGGAAGCUUCCUCGAGAUUGCAUCUACCUAUACAUUCCUUCCCUUGAUGACUUCUCUAUAAGUCUACACUUCCUCCAACCAGAUCUUUCCUCAAUAAAAC
rnacentral:lncRNA from 1 species